UCUUCUUAGAGAUUGAUUUGCAGGCGAAAUGGUCGCCAGUCUCCUUGUCCGUACAUAAAUAUGUGAUUCCAAAUUCACCCCUACCUAGCUCUCUGCCUAGCUCAUAUCUUUGCUCGAUUUCUCCUCCUGUUGGGUCUUUUAAGACGGUUAGCCUGUGCUGGACUCCAUUGUUGAGGCCGUACUCGAUAGCAAAUGGGUUUUGUUUCUUCUUGUUCUUCUUAUUAUCGUGAUCUGGGGCUGUUGACGGGGUAACACAACAAUUACCCAUGAAUCAGAAAUUAAAAAAACAAAAAUUUGACAAAAAAAAUCUUGUUUGCUGGGAUUUUUGCGGCUCCUGGUGAGAUGGAUAUUUAGAUUUGUAGAGAAAAUGGAUUCAGAAGAUAAAAAAAAUUAGGUCUUUCCAGUCAAAAUCUAACGCUUUGAGCAAAUCAAGAAAUGGGUAUUUGUAAUUGCGAAAGAAGAUCCAAGAUCCAGCUAUAAAUGAUCAAAUCUCUGGAGGACAAGACCAA
rnacentral:misc_RNA from 1 species